UCCUGGCUCAGAUUGAACGCUGGCGGCAGGCCUAACACAUGAAAGUCGGACGGUAGCACAGAGAGCUUGCUCUCGGGUGACGAGUGGCGGACGGGUGAGUAAUGUCUGGGAAACUGCCUGAUGGAGGGGGAUAACUACUGGAAACGGUAGCUAAUACCGCAUAAUGUCGCAAGACCAAAGAGGGGGACCUUCGGGCCUCUUGCCAUCAGAUGUGCCCAGAUGGGAUUAGCUAGUAGGUGGGGUAACGGCUCACCUAGGCGACGAUCCCUAGCUGGUCUGAGAGGAUGACCAGCCACACUGGAACUGAGGCACGGUCCAGACUCCUACGGGAGGCAGCAGUGGGGAAUAUUGCACAAUGGGCGCAAGCCUGAUGCAGCCAUGCCGCGUGUGUGAAGAAGGCCUUCGGGUUGUAAAGCACUUUCAGCAGGGAGGAAGGCGGCACGGUUAAUAACCGUGCUGAUUGACGUUACCUGCARAARAARCACCGGCUAACUCCGUGCCAGCAGCCGCGGUAAUACGGAGGGUGCAAGCGUUAAUCGGAAUUACUGGGCGUAAAGCGCACGCAGGCGGUCUGUCAAGUCGGAUGUGAAAUCCCCGGGCUCAACCUGGGAACUGCAUUCGAAACUGGCAGGCUARAGUCUCGUAGAGGGAGGUAGAAUUCCAGGUGUAGCGGUGAAAUGCGUAGAGAUCUGGAGGAAUACCGGUGGCGAAGGCGGCCUCCUGGACGAAGACUGACGYUCAGGUGCGAAAGCGUGGGGAGCAAACAGGAUUAGAUACCYUGGUAGUCCACGCCGUAAACGAUGUCGAUUUGGAGGUUGUGCCCUUGAGGCGUGGCUUCCGGAGCUAACGCGUUAAAUCGACCGCCUGGGGAGUACGGCCGCAAGGUUAAAACUCAAAUGAAUUGACGGGGGCCCGCACAAGCGGUGGAGCAUGUGGUUUAAUUCGAUGCAACGCGAAGAACCUUACCUGGUCUUGACAUCCACAGAACUUAGCAGAGAUGCUUUGGUGCCUUCGGGAACUGUGAGACAGGUGCUGCAUGGCUGUCGUCAGCUCGUGUUGUGAAAUGUUGGGUUAAGUCCCGCAACGAGCGCAACCCUUAUCCUUUGUUGCCAGCGGUCCGGCCGGGAACUCAAAGGAGACUGCCAGUGAUAAACUGGAGGAAGGUGGGGAUGACGUCAAGUCAUCAUGGCCCUUACGACCAGGGCUACACACGUGCUACAAUGGCGCAUACAAAGAGAAGCGACCUCGCGAGAGCAAGCGGACCUCAUAAAGUGCGUCGUAGUCCGGAUUGGAGUCUGCAACUCGACUCCAUGAAGUCGGAAUCGCUAGUAAUCGUGAAUCAGAAUGUCACGGUGAAUACGUUCCCGGGCCUUGUACACACCGCCCGUCACACCAUGGGAGUGGGUUGCAAAAGAAGUAGGUAGCUUAACCUUCGGGAGGGCGCUUACCACUUUGUGAUUCAUGACUGGGGUGAAGUCGUAACAAGGUAACCAAGGGCGAAUUCCACAGUG
rnacentral:rRNA from 1 species